rnacentral:rRNA from 1 species
UGGGGAAUCUUGCGCAAUGGGCGAAAGCCUGACGCAGCGACGCCGCGUGAGUGAAGAAGGCCUUCGGGUUGUAAAACUCUGUGGGAAGAGAAGAAUAAGUGUGAGUGAAUAGCUCACGCGAUGACGGUAUCUUUUUAGCAAGCACCGGCUAACUCUGUGCCAGCAGCCGCGGUAAGACAGAGGGUGCAAACGUUGUUCGGAAUUACUGGGCGUAAAGGGUGUGUAGGCGGCGAGGCAAGUCCGAUGUGAAAGCCCUGGGCUCAACCCAGGAAGUGCACCGGAUACUGCUUUGCUAGAGUCUCGGAGAGGUUGGUGGAAUUCUCGAUGUAGAGGUGAAAUUCGUAGAUAUCGAGAAGAACAUCGGUGGCGAAGGCGGCCAACUGGACGAAGACUGACGCUGAGACACGAAAGCGUGGGGAGCAAACAGG